rnacentral:rRNA from 1 species
GAUGAACGCUGGCGGCGUGCCUAAUACAUGCAAGUCGAGCGGACGGACGAGAAGCUUGCUUCUUUGUUGUUAGCGGCGGACGGGAGAGUAACACGUGGAUAACCUACCUAUAAGUCUGGGAUAACCACGGGAAACCGGCGCAUACACCGGAUAAUCUUCUGAACCGCAUGGUUCAAUAGUGAAAGACGGCCUUGCUGUCACUAAUCGAUGGAUCCGAGCUGCAUUAGCUAGUUGUUAAGUUAAAGGCUUACCAAGGCAACGAUGCGUAGCCGACUUGAGAGAGUGAUCGGCCACACUGGAGCUGAGACACGGACCAGACUCCUACGGGAGGCAGCAGUAGGCAAUGUGCCGCAGUGGGCGAAAGCCUGACGCAGCAGCGGGGCGUGAGUGAUGGAGAUCUUCGGAUCGUAAAACUCUGUUAUUAGGGAAGAACAUAUGUGUAAGUAACUGUGCACAGCUUGACGGUACCUAAUCAGAAAGCCACGGCUAACUACGUG